rnacentral:rRNA from 1 species
ACACAUGCAAGUCGAACGAUGAUCCCAGCUUGCUGGGGGAUUAGUGGCGAACGGGUGAGUAACACGUGAGUAACCUGCCCUUGACUCUGGGAUAAGCCUGGGAAACUGGGUCUAAUACCGGAUAUGACCGCUCUGACGCAUGUCAGGUGGUGGAAAGCUUUUGUGGUUUUGGAUGGACUCGCGGCCUAUCAGCUUGUUGGUGGGGUAAUGGCCUACCAAGGCGACGACGGGUAGCCGGCCUGAGAGGGUGACCGGCCACACUGGGACUGAGACACGGCCCAGACUCCUACGGGAGGCAGCAGUGGGGAAUAUUGCACAAUGGGCGCAAGCCUGAUGCAGCGACGCCGCGUGAGGGAUGACGGCCUUCGGGUUGUAAACCUCUUUCAGUAGGGAAGAAGCGAAAGUGACGGUACCUGCAGAAGAAGCGCCGGCUAACUACGUGCCAGCAGCCGCGGUAAUACGUAGGGCGCAAGCGUUAUCCGGAAUUAUUGGGCGUAAAGAGCUCGUAGGCGGUUUGUCGCGUCUGCUGUGAAAGACCGGGGCUCAACUCCGGUUCUGCAGUGGGUACGGGCAGACUAGAGUGAUGUAGGGGAGACUGGAAUUCCUGGUGUAGCGGUGAAAUGCGCAGAUAUCAGGAGGAACACCGAUGGCGAAGGCAGGUCUCUGGGCAUUAACUGACGCUGAGGAGCGAAAGCAUGGGGAGCGAACAGGAUUAGAUACCCUGGUAGUCCAUGCCGUAAACGUUGGGCACUAGGUGUGGGGGACAUUCCACGUUUUCCGCGCCGUAGCUAACGCAUUAAGUGCCCCGCCUGGGGA